CAGGGGUGGAAGGGAAGGACAGGGAGCCAGCACGGAGGUCUCAGGGGCAGGUCUGCAGCGCCUUGCAUGAUGUCCCUCUCUGGCUGGGUGGCCAGGUGGGUGACCCUGAGUGGCGGGCACAGGGCAGCAGCAGGCUUGGAGGGACAGUGCCUGGUUGCACGGGAGACGUCCUGAUGUCCGUGAGAGGCAAGCCCUGGAAGCUCAGUGUGUCUGUCUGGGCUGGGGAGGUGGGGUCCCCGGUGUCAGUCCCGGGUGGUGGCGUGGGGUGGCAGGUGGCCUCGUGGGUGACACUCCCUGUGGGUAAGGGUGACAGGAGGGGCUAUGGGGAGAGGCUAGUCCAGACUGCAAGGGGCCAGCCAGCUGGGGCUCGUCCUGCCUCUGCCCUCAGGCAGGUGCAAUGGGCCUCCCUCUGCACCCAGGCCGCAGAGGCCACCAGCAGCCUUGCUGGAACUUGGCCUCUAGACCAUCCUGGAGCAAGAGUGGGAUGGAGGCAGUCCGAGGGGAGGAGGAGGGCGAGGAGGGGAAAGCAGCAUUUAUUGACCACUUCCCACAUGCAGGGCAUGUCCUCGGUGUCUUGCCUAUUAAAAGUAACAGCAGCCGCAAAAAAACUGUCACAGGGCACUUCGGUGCCAGACAUUAUUUUAAAUGACUCAUUCGACCCUUCCAUGGCCCUGUGGGGUAGGCACCUUUAUCUCCUUUCAUGGAUGAGGAAACUGAGGCACAGAGACCUUAGGGCCCCAGCCCAAGGUCACAGAGUGUGGGAAUCCAGUGGGAAUCCACUGACUCCAGUGUGGGAGUCACCGGUGUCAGUGCAAAGCUGGCCGCCCUGCGAGAAGCCUGCAGGAAUUUGUUUUGGGGAGGACGGGGCUGAGGCAGGAGGAGCUGAGACAGGCUACACUGAAUCCCCCAAGGUCCACAGGAGUGCGUGGUGGGAGCUGGGGGUGGGGCUGACCUGACCCCACCUCCCUGGAACCCCCCCAACUUUCCCUUCUGAAAUGGCUGCAGGAUUGGGGGGGUUGGGGGGGAGAGUGUAUUUGAGUGUAUUGGG
rnacentral:lncRNA from 1 species